rnacentral:rRNA from 1 species
AUUGAACGCUGGCGGCAUGCCUUACACAUGCAAGUCGAACGGCAGCACGGGAGCAAUCCUGGUGGCGAGUGGCGAACGGGUGAGUAAUAUAUCGGAACGUGCCCAGUCGUGGGGAUAACGUAGCGAAAGCUACGCUAAUACCGCAUACGAUCUAUGGAUGAAAGCGGGGGAUCGCAAGACCUCGCGCGAUUGGAGCGGCCGAUAUCAGAUUAGGUAGUUGGUGAGGUAAAGGCUCACCAAGCCGACGAUCUGUAGCUGGUCUGAGAGGACGACCAGCCACACUGGGACUGAGACACGGCCCAGACUCCUACGGGAGGCAGCAGUGGGGAAUUUUGGACAAUGGGCGCAAGCCUGAUCCAGCAAUGCCGCGUGCAGGAUGAAGGCCUUCGGUUGGUU